rnacentral:rRNA from 1 species
UACAGUAAAUAAAGGUAAUAAAUAAUAAAGAAAACUAUAUAAGAAAAAAUAAGUAUAGCAAAACAAAUAAGGUAUAUAAUACAUACGAUAUUAGAUACGCACAUAAGAAUUUUACUUCGUUUUGAUUUAUUCAGCGAUUCUCCGUGAGGAUAAUUCGAAGUGGUUUGACAUGCGCACCUUCCAUGAGGUUGUAUUAUCACGGGAGAAAAGACCACAAUUUUGAGCAACCCCAGAGGAAGCGUUCACCACACACAACAGGGGUGGUAAAUAACUUAACGCUCCCGCGAUACCAGCACAGCUAAAAUUGCUAUAAUAAUUAUGCAAUAACAUUACUAUGCAUUUAUUUUUAAUGAGCCGAACCAAAGAUCCUGUAAUUUAUUUAUUUUUUUUUUAAUCGAGUUACAAUAAGAAACAUUAAGUUGGUCCUCGGCGGCCUCCCUAUACGGGCGCGGUGAUCCCCCAGCAACUUAAGGUAUUUCACAGGGUUUGAGUGAAACUCGUAAUGUUCCGUAGGGAACCUGCGGAGGGAUCAUUACCGAGUUUACAACUCCCAAACCCCUGUGAACAUACCUUAAUGUUGCCUCGGCGGAUCAGCCCGCGCCCCGUAAAACGGGACGGCCCGCCAGAGGACCCAAACUCUAAUGUUUCUUAUUGUAACUUCUGAGUAAAACAAACAAAUAAAUCAAAACUUUCAACAACGGAUCUCUUGGUUCUGGCAUCGAUGAAGAACGCAGCAAAAUGCGAUAAGUAAUGUGAAUUGCAGAAUUCAGUGAAUCAUCGAAUCUUUGAACGCACAUUGCGCCCGCUGGUAUUCCGGCGGGCAUGCCUGUUCGAGCGUCAUUUCAACCCUCAAGCCCCCGGGUUUGGUGUUGGGGAUCGGCUCUGCCCUUCUGGGCGGUGCCGCCCCCGAAAUACAUUGGCGGUCUCGCUGCAGCCUCCAUUGCGUAGUAGCUAACACCUCGCAAGUGGAACGCGGCGCGGCCAUGCCGUAAAACCCCAACUUCUGAAUGUUGACCUCGGAUCAGUAGAUCAGUAUCGGUCCUCAC